rnacentral:sRNA from 1 species
UAUUGAAAUAUGUAAUUGUUUUAUGCCU